rnacentral:tRNA from 1 species
GGCUCUUUGGCGCAAUGGAUAGCGCAUUGGACUUCUAAUUCAAAGGUUGUGGGUUCGAGUCCCACCAGAGUCG